CCUUGUGCAGGCGGCGUCGCUAUAGUAGAAGCCACAGUAGAAGCAGGAGCCCAAGAAGAUACUACUCUCGAUCAGGAUCGCAUUCUCGUUCUCCUUCCCCAAGGUCGAGGAGCCGGACCAGGUACUGAAGCAUUUUCCUGUUUAACUGUUAAAGUUGGGUGGUCUCGGCUGAAAUGGCAACAUAUAUACAUGAACUUUCAUUUUACGAGCUCAUCUGUUGUCACCCAAUGUAGCCCACAAUGUGGCGGAUGGAUCCUUUCAAAUUUGUUGUACAUGGAUAAUUUAUUAAUGUUAGUCAUGUCAGUUUUUCAGCGUCGUUUUAGUAGCAACUUUGCCUUGGUAUCUUUGUAAUUUCAGAAAGGGUUAAUAUAUUUUAUCGUGAUCUUUGUUGAUA